rnacentral:rRNA from 1 species
UACGUAGGGGGCAAGCGUUGUCCGGAUUUAUUGGGCGUAAAGAGCGUGUAGGCGGCCAGGUAGGUCUGCUGUGAAAACUCGAGGCUUAACCUCGAGCUGUCGGCGGAAACCAUCUGGCUAGAGUCCGGAAGAGGAGAAUGGAAUUCCCGGUGUAGCGGUGAAAUGCACAGAUAUCGGGAAGAACACCCGUGGCGAAGGCGGUUCUCUGGGACGGUACUGACGCUGAGACGCGAAAGCGUGGGGAGCGAACAGG